rnacentral:sRNA from 1 species
AAGCUUAUUUCUGACGCAGGGUACCAGGGGGAGAUCACCAGUGUGUCCACAGCAUGCCAGCAGCUAGAAGUGUUCUCGAGAGUGCUCCGGACCUCUCUAGCUACAAUUUUAGAUGGAGGAGAAGAAAACCUUGAAAAAAAUCUCCCUGAGUUUGCCAAGAUGGUGUGCCACGGGGAGCACACGUACCUGUUUGCCCAGGCCAUGAUGUCCGUGCUGGCCCAGGAGGAGCAGGGGGGCUCCGCUGUGCGCAGGAUCGCCCAGGAAGUGCAGCGCUUUGCCCAGGAGAAAGGUCAUGACGCCAGUCAGAUCACACUAGCCUUGGGCACAGCUGCCUCCUACCCCAGGGCCUGCCAGGCUCUCGGGGCCAUGCUGUCCAAAGGAGCCCUGAACCCUGCUGACAUCACCGUCCUGUUCAAGAUGUUCACAAGCAUGGACCCUCCUCCGGUUGAACUCAUCCGCGUUCCAGCCUUCCUGGACCUGUUCAUGCAGUCACUCUUUAAGCCAGGGGCUCGGAUCAACCAGGACCACAAGCACAAAUACAUCCACAUCUUGGCGUACGCAGCAAGCGUGGUUGAGACCUGGAAGAAGAACAAGCGAGUGAGCAUCAAUAAAGAUGAGCUGAAGUCAACGUCAAAAGCUGUCGAAACCGUUCACAAUUUGUGUUGCAACGAGAACAAAGGGGCCUCUGAACUAGUGGCAGAAUUGAGCACACUUUAUCAGUGUAUUAGGUUUCCAGUGGUAGCAAUGGGUGUGCUGAAGUGGGUGGAUUGGACUGUAUCGGAACCAAGGUACUUUCAGCUGCAGACUGACCAUACCCCUGUCCACCUGGCGUUGCUGGAUGAGAUCAGCACCUGCCACCAGCUCCUGCACCCCCAGGUCCUGCAGCUGCUUGUUAAGCUUUUUGAGACUGAGCACUCCCAGCUGGACGUGAUGGAGCAGGUGAGCAGUGCCCGUGGGGCUUGCCAGAGGGCUGAGGAGGACCCUCUCUAACCAGCUCCCUGUCCCCCUUCUUCUGUAGCUUGAGUUGAAGAAGACACUGCUGGACAGGAUGGUUCACCUGCUGAGUCGAGGUUAUGUACUUCCUGUUGUCAGUUACAUCCGAAAGUGUCUGGAGAAGCUGGACACUGACAUUUCACUCAUUCGCUAUUUUGUCACUGAGGUCAGCAAUGCACCGUUGGUUUCAUGUUUCAUACUGUUUACACUAGCACUGCCCUUUUUGGCUUAAUUUAGUUCAUUUUGUACCUGAGAACUGUGCUUUCUGAUGUAGUGAUGACAAUGACAGAUACUCGUUUACCAAAAAGCACCUUCUGCCUGCAGCAGCUGUAUGACACACUUUACCUCCAUUACCACCCUGGGCAUCUGAAUGUUGGAGAUGGGUGGUGUCACCGGCCGGUGGGGGCGGGGAGGGAUUUUUUCCAAACUGAUGGCCGUUUCACCCGGAUGUCGGUGGAUGCCCCGCACUAGUGUGCGGAAGAAGUCACCCUGUGCUCCCCCACACAGGUGCUGGACGUCAUUGCUCCUCCUUACACCUCUGACUUCGUGCAACUUUUCCUCCCCAUCCUGGAGAAUGACAGCAUCGCAGGUACCAUCAAAACGGAAGGCGAGCAUGACCCUGUGACGGAGUUUAUAGCUCACUGCAAAUCUAACUUCAUCAUGGUGAACUAAUUUAGAGCAUCCUCCAGAGCUGAAGCAGAACAUUCCAGAACCCGUUGUGGAAAAACCCUUUCAAGAAGCUGUUUUAAGAGGCUCGGGCAGCGUCUUGAAAAUGGGCACCGCUGGGAGGAGGUGGAUGACUUCUUUACAAAGGAAAAUGGUAGCAGCUUCAGUGAGAAACUGCCCUUACGAACAGUCCCUUCUCUGCUGUCAAUCCAAUACUGUUCCCAAAUCCUGUUUUCAGUGUUCAUUUCCCUCAAGGCAGGCGCUGGGCUCCCACAACCCCUCAGGACAGAUCUGGCCGUCAGCCGCGGGCCGCUGGGAACUCCACUCGGGGAACUCCUUUCCAAGCUGACCUCAGUUUUUCUCACAAGAACCCAGUUAGUUGAUGUUUUAUUGUAAUUGUCUUAAUUUGCUAAGAACAAGUAAUAAGUAAAUUUUUAAAAAGCCUUUCUGCUGGGUUGGAUUAG